rnacentral:misc_RNA from 1 species
UCGAAUAAAUCUGGCAUGGUUGUAGCUGGCUCUUAGGGGCAUGUGCACACCUGUCACCUUUAUCUUUCCACCUGUGAACCCUUUGUAGUCCCAGGAUAACCUCUCGCACACUUUGGUGUUGCGGAUGCGAAGGUUGUUGUGCCUCUGGCCAGCUUCCAUCGAAUUUCCUGGGUCUAUGUUUCUUACACACCCCUGUAGUGUUAAAAAGAAUGUUGAUUUCAAAGGCUUUGGCCUAUAGAAAACUCAAUA